GGCACGCGGGCCACGGCGGCGAGCUCGGCGUCGCCGGCGCCGGCCAGCUCGGCCUGGAUCGCGGCCAGGGUGUGCCCC
rnacentral:tRNA from 1 species